rnacentral:lncRNA from 1 species
GCAGAUCCAUGCACCGGGAGCCCGACGUGGGAUUCGAUCCCGGGUCUCCAGGAUCGCGCCCUGGGCCAAAGGCAGGCGCUAAACCGCUGCGCCACCCAGGGUUCCCUCUUCUCUCCCUUUAAUUGUGGAGUUUGUUCAUCGGUCUUCAGGUCAAUUUCUGGGAUAUUUAGGAUGAUUUGAUAGUAAUCUAGUUUGUUGCACAAGACAAGCCUAGGGUCCUCCUACUCUGCCGCCAUUGCGAAAAGUGAGUUGUUUUUCUUAAGGCCAUAAACGUGCAUCUAAUUUAUAACACAAAACAAAAUGUUUUAAAAUUAUCUUUCACCAUCCAUCUCUUGUUUCCCUACACAUACUGCAGCAACAUGAAAUAAAGAUCUCUUCUUUUGGACACAUUUGGACCUCACAUAUCUUUCAUCAUUCCCCCACCCCCUUCUCUGCACCAUCUGUUUAUUCCAAAAAUCAGUCUAAGCUCUAAGCUCUUCAGCUGUUUCUUUACUUUUCACUUCACCUAUUACAUGGAUUCCCAACAACAGCGGUUCUUAAACUUUUACAUGCAUCAGAAUCAUUGAGGUCUUGUUAAAGUGCAAGUAUAUUUGAAUGUGAUUGAAUAAUUACUUCAUUGGUCAAGAUGGUUGGUAAUUUUACAAUCUAGUGUUAUUAUGUCUACUUUAAAGUAUAUUAAAGACAAGUGGAGGCAAGGAUGGGAAAAAUAGUGGCUGUAUGACAAGCUAGUGAAUGUGUGACAUUUGUAGCACACCUGUCACAUAACAGGUGUUUAAUAAAUAUUUGUUAAGCUAUUGGAAUUCAUGUGAUUUGGAAUUAAAAUUACCUAAAAUUAAAGAUUCAUAGCAUCCGGAGCUAGUGAGAUUACAGAGAAAUGGACCUAUUAUGAAAUUUUUGAAGAUCAAUUUGGCAAUAGCCACCAUAUUUUAAAUAUGUAUUUCCUUUGGCCCAGAUAGCCUAGUGUCCAUCCUAGGGAAUAGCUUUGUGCCCAUGAAAUGUAUGUAUAAUGAUGUGCAAAUUUAGCACUGCUUGUAAUUGUGAAAAUUACAAGCCUAAUGUUGAUAAAUGGAGAAUUAUUUAAUAAAUGACGAGUUGCCUAUUAAACACUGUAUGAGAGUUGAAAAGCAUAAGGGAAAGCAAUAAAUGUUGAGUGAAAGAUUUCCAGUAUGUGUUAAGUGAAAAAAUGGUCACAGAAAAAAAGUGUAGAAUUAUCCAUUUUGUUUAUAGAGCCCCAAACUAUAUCUAUUGGAGAUAUGUAGGAAAAUCCUUAGGAAAAAGUCUGAAAGGUGAUACACCAGACAGUCAUUAGUGGUUGCCUCUGGCAAGGGAAGAGGGACAGGAGAAGAGGACCAAGGGGGAGCUUCUCCUUUGUACACUUUAUAGUCGAUAUUAUUUGGAACGUUUACUUGUGAGAUCAAAAAAGAAAAAAGUAGCUUGCUCAACAAAUGUUCUUAAUCCUUUAAUAAGGACAGUAGAUAAUAGCAUAAUAAGGAUAAUAGAUGCAUGAUUCUUGCUAAAUACUUCAUUACUUUAGUGCUGCCAAUUCCCAGAACAUGUCCUGUGAGUAGUACAAGAGUUGAAUUGGCAUCUGGUCGGAAGGCACACGAUACUAAAAUCUCUGUAGCAUUAGACUGCCUGACCCAAAGAGUUUGCCUUUGGACUAUGACACCAUUUCAUGCUUGCUCUCUAACAGGUUAAGGUGGCAGUGACAAUAAAAGAAAGGAAAAACAAAAGCAAACACAAAUAAACCAAAGCACCAUUAUGCAAAAGGAGAAAGCAAAGAAACGGUAUUUUUUUCCCUCCAAAUGAAUGGUUAUAUCAAUAUUUACUUGAAGACAGUAUUAGGUGUGGAUAAGGGAAGAGAAAGUUGUGUUUUAGGCUUUUCUCAGUUUCAGUCUGAGGAAUGUAGGGGUGGUGUAUUUCCUAUACUGCUAUAACUAAAUAUCACAAACUGGGUAGCUUAAAACAACAGAAAUUUAUUCUUUCACAGUUUUGGAGGCUGGAAGUCUGCACUCAAGGAACUGGCAGUGUUGUGCUCUCUCUGAAGCCUUUAGAGGAGAUUUCUGCCUUGCCUCUUCCAGUUUUUGGUAGCCUGAGGUGCUCCUUGGUCCAGAUGCACUACUCCAAUCUCUGCCUCUCUUUCACAUGGCUGUUUUGCCUUGUGUUUCUGUUUUCACCACUUCUCAUAAGGUUACAAGUCAUGGAGUGCCUUAGUGGCUCAGUUGUAGGCUCAGGUCAUGAUCUCUGGGUCCUGGGAUGGAGCCCUGCAUCGCAUUGGGCUUCCUGCUCAGUGGGGAGUCUGCUUCUUCCUCUCCUUCUCCCUCUGCCCCUCCCCUAGCUCGUGCACUCUCUCUCUCAAAUAAAUAAAAUGUUCAUUUUUUCUUUUUUAAAGAUUUUAUUUAUUUAUUCAUGAGAGACAGAGAGAGAGGGAGAGGCAGAGACACAGGCAGAGGGAGAAGCAGGCUCCACGCAGGGAGCCCGAUGUGGGACUCGAUCCCUAGUCUCCAGGAUCAUGCCCUGGGCUGAAGGCGGCGCCAAACUGCUGAGCCACCUGGGCUGCUCUAUUCCUGUUUUAAGUCAAACAUUCUUUUGUAAAGUAGAGCAUGAUUAUAAUAGACAUUUUGCAUCUUUCACCAAAUAAUUAUCCUCAUUUGAAGAAGGCUAUUAAUUUCUGCUUUACAGAGGGGAAAACUUUUGGUUUUCAUGCACCGAACUUAAAUUUAUCUGGGUAUCUCAAGGGACGGAGGGUUCUGCUUGCCAGGAACACCUUUAUCUUUGGGACUAUAAGGAAGGGAUGAGAGAUUUGAUGUAGAGAUAGGGAUCUGCUGAAGUGCAGAGGAGGUUUUGGACUAUUUUUCCUUCCAUAUCUAACCAAACUUUGAAAUGAAUGAUUCUAAAAUAUCUGGAUGAUUCAAAGUGGAAAAAAAAAAAAGAAAGAAAGAAAGA